CCAUAAAUAUUCUUACUGUUCUGACUAUAAUAAUUGGAACAGGCGAAACAUUCACUAUAAUGAUACCACACAUUGUGGUCCCCAGAUCUAGAUCUUUACCUAGGUUUGCUAUGAUAAAUACAUGUGAUAAAU
ensembl:snoRNA SNORA72 Small nucleolar RNA SNORA72